AGGAGGUGCUCAGAACUAGCAGCAUCCAUAUUUGUGAAAUUCUUUCCUAUGUUCCCAUGUUCACCGUCCAGAAGAGAGGAGGAUUCAGUUUGUUCAACUCUUUGCUCUCCAUUGACUACAUACACCAGGAAAUGUGCAAAAUCUUUUUUUCUCAGAUGUCACGCUUUCCUCAAGUUGAUCUUUCACGAUCGGGCACUGUGCUGAUCCAGGAGGGAGGCAGAGACUACUGAACCUUGCAGCCACUGGGCUAGCUGAGCACUUUGCCUGCGUGGAAGGCUGAAUCCAGAUACCACUGCCUUGACUCAGUUUGUGCUCAGGCUGGCUGAUGUAAAGGGAUUUGAGGAUCCACCAUUUGUGCCGUGCUUGGACAAACCGUGUGGUGUGUGCUCGUUCAAUAAUCACGUAUGGGAGCUUUACCUUGGAAUUGCAUAGGAUGCAACUAGAAAUCUGUGGUGGAGGACACAGGAUGAUAACGUAGGGAAACACGAAGUGGACUGAGGACAAUUGUGCAUGCCCCAGAGGGAGAGCUGCCAGUGAGCAACAUCUGUUGUUUGACCUUCAGGAGCCUAUAAGAAAGGUAACUUUUUGGCAUACAUCUUCCUUAUUGCUUGUUAGGAAGACUUUGCUUACUGUGGGUGGACACUCUGGUAAGAAAAGAGUGAAAGAGGAAGCCGGAAGACAGUUGGCCUUCUUUUGCUAUCUUGCAUCAGUGCCAACUGCUACAUAACACACCCAGAAGUCAUAUUUGUUGCUGUUACUAGGCCAUCAUGCUGCUCCUCACCUACUUCAGCAGCCUCCUGAAUCCCAUGCAUUGCAGAAGUUGCUGUUGUCACUUCUAUGCCCCACACAAGACAGCAAAGAGGUGAGAGGUUUUGUAUUAUUUGCUAUUUUGGGCUGAAAAUCCUGCACUUGUCUGCCAGGUUUAGAUUUUUCCACCUCCAGACCUUUGUAGACUUUUUUAUUAUUCCAUAUUCCCAUUGACAAAAAAUAAUCCCAUGGUCACUCCUGGACUAGUGGAGGAAGAUAAUGGCAAGGACAGAUUUAAGAUGACAACCUUCACCCUGGAGUCCUACAGGACUCAAGGGCAAAACAGACAAAAUAGAGACUUCCAGGGGUGCAUGAUACCACCUGCUCUUGAGUUUGCCCCUACAUGAGGGAUGCACAAAGGGGGAUUAUUGGCUCUUAAUUUUCUGAAAGGCCCCAGGAGAACCCCAGAAAACUGCAAACCAGUAAUGCUGACAUCCCUACCACACAAUUCCCAGACAGAUUGGGCCCAUGGAUAAAUGUGGUGCAAAAGAAAAUAAUAAAUAUGGCAUUUGUGACAGGAUAUACCACACUUUUUUGUUACACAAGAGUUUACUGAAGAGUUGAUGAAUACAGACAAGGGGGAGCCAAAACACUACCAUGUCUUUGAAGCUUCAAAAGAGUCUCUGAUGAGUCUCACUGUAAAGCUACAAAAGAAGUUAAGCUAUUACAUUAUCAGGAAUUCCUCACAUAAAUAUGCAACUGGUUAAAAUAUAAGAAAAAAAGAACAGUUAAUAGUUUUUGCAGUUAAGUGGGUUCAGUCAUGAAAGGGCUUGCCUGUGGCCUGUGCCAAUGGUCAGGCAUUGGAAUAGGCUACACAGGAUGGUGGGAUCACCAUCCUUGGAACCUUUCCAAAGGCAUGUGGAUGUGGCACUUGGGAAUAUGGUUUAGGGGUGAACACAGUGGUGAUGGGUUAACAUGUCUUUUCUAUGAUUUAAAAUGUAGACAUCAGCAAUUUGAGAAAAAGGGAAAGCUGUGAAAUAAUUAAGGUUGCUGAAGUACUAAAUUAAUAUUAUUCAUAUUCACAAUAAAGUUUGUUGAUAUUAUAUAUGAGCUAUUAAUAUUCAUAACUAAGUUUACUGACGUACUAAGUUAUGCAGGAUACAGAGAAGAGAUCCACCUGCAAAGAACUAUUUAAGGACUUCGAAAUAUAGAGUGACAAGGUGAUAAAAUGGCAGAUUAAAAUCAGUACUGAUAAUAUGGAAGAAUAGAGAGUAAGGACAGAAUCAAUUUGCUGCACAAGUGAUGCGUAAAACACAGUGACAUGCUCAGACAAUUCUGUCUUUCCUUUUGAAUUUUCCCCUUUCUAGUUUUAACUACUAAGUGGGAGAUAAUAUCUUUUUACUCCCUAGCAUGUGCAUUUAUUAACCCACUCAGAUUGUGUAGCUGGAAAAUAUUGUGCUGACCUUCAAUAAAAAAUGUCCAAAGUCUCUGCUAUGCUUUUUCUUGUAAAUAUUUAUGGUAACCAUUAAAAUUCUUUUCACACUUAAAUUUAGCUUAGCUGCAAGUGCCUUCCUCACUUGGAUAUAGUGAGGAAUGGCACACAAAAUGAGAUCCAGGACCCUGGUGAAAGUGAGAGAAGAGAUGACAAGUUUUCAUGUUACAAGUGAUUUGCCUAAUUUGUAUGGUGCACAACUGGAUAUCAUACAGAAAAGAAUUUGCUACAGCUGGCUGUGUGUCCCCAGAGGACAGUUAGUCUCUUAAUACCUCAUGAAAGAGCAUGAGCACAGAAGGACACCUUGCUUAUGUUAAAUGCUUACUGAGGCUUCUCAUGGUUAGUCCUGGAAGAGGAGAAAUCCCACAGAGUUAUCUCACUUGCAUCUCACAUGCAUGUCUGUGAUGAACAUGAACAAGAACAGCUGUUUCCUUCAAAACCAGUUCAAGUCUCUAGGGUUACUGAGUCACUUUGUUACAACUGUCAAAUGAGAAUAUGGAUGAAGGUAUCUUACAACAAAGGAGACAGCUGGGCCCAUGGGAGUAAGAAGGGCUGCAACAAUUACAACUAAACUUGUUGGACUUACUCUUACUAAACUUGGGCUUGAUAGGGUGCUAUUUCUGGAAUUUGCUGAUUCAAGUUUGGGAGGUAGUUGGAAGUCUCAUGUUGGCAACAAUGUCAAGGAAAAUCUGCCCCAUUCCCAGUCAGCCCAGCCAGUCUGCCCCAGAUAAUUUGCCUGGUAAAUCUCUGAUGACCUGAGAAUUUGGAAACCCAAACCCAAGCCUGUGAGAGUGGACAAAGCCCAAGGAACCCCAGCUUGUACCACUCUCAAAGAGCCCGGCAUAUGGGCUAAUCUCAGUCUAGGCUCCACACCUUUGACUUGCAGAGAAAUUUGGAAGUGUCUUUUAUUUUACAUCAGAGUAGCAACAAAUUUGAAAUGAUCAAUGCCUUCUUAUAAGCAAAAUGAUGUUUCUUUAUCCAGAUACAAGUAAAACUUGGGAAUAUGAGACCCUUCUGCCAGGUUUCUUUAAAAACAUUAUCUAUUACCAAAUCUUGGACAGGCAGGAGGAAACAAAAUGUGCUUUAUAUAUCUGGGCAGGACCAUCUUUUGUGACAAUGUAGAGCAAGAUUAGCAUUUUACUUUUCACGGAGAUUAUGGUGAACAAACAUGCAAGCACACUCUAAUUAUUUAUUUAUAUAUAUAUGUAUUUAUUCUUUCAUUAUUUAAAAUCCAAAUUUCAAGAAGUUUCUAUUGAGAAAUCCAAAAUUUUUAAUAAUACUCCAGUACAAAAAUAUAGUCCUUAGGAUAAAAACUUCCAUACUACUACCUCCAAAUAAAUAAAAUUACAUCAGACACAUUUAAAUUAUUCAGUGUAAAAAAAAACCAGCAUUUUUUUUUAAAACCAGCAUUUUAAGUUAAGUCAGUGCAGUACAGUUAGUCACAAUCCCUUGCGGUGUUAAGUAGACUGGCAUCCUGGUAACUUCAGUGCAUAACAAUAGUAAAUACCAGCAAUUAAUCAUCAAUACUCUCCUUCAGAAACGUGCGUCAGCAUUUGCUUAUCUUUAAACAUGUUUGUUUGCUUGAUUUAGAUUUAGACAUGUUUAGUAGUAAACAGACAUGAAUAUGUUUUUCUGAGUACAGUAACUUCCCCCUAUUGGUGCUUGUAUCUGCAUGCCAAAUAGACGAAUGAUAAGACUAAUCUUUUAACAACCCUCUCUAAAAACAGCACCAGAUGGAAAGCUGGGUACUGUAUCAUGUAAUUUCAAGAUUUCCAUAUGGAACCUGGCCUGCAGAACACGUACGAGAACACCAGAAAGUCAGGCAUACAAGAAAUUCAUCGAUGGAUAACAUUUUACUUAGAACAGAACUUCAUGAGAGGAGUCUGCUUGCGAAGACUUUCCAGUUAGAUUCCAAAUUUAAAGUGAAAGAAGAAAUACGCAAGACCUUUGCUUUUUAAUAGUUAAAAAAUGAAGAAGGUACUUCACACCCUAAGAACAUUUCCUCUUCAUCUCCACAGGAAAUAAGUCUGCCUAUAGAAAAGCUACUGUGAGUCAAGUGUAGAUGCACUUUAUUUUAAAGUUGUGUAUCUUCCUUUUUCAAAGGCCUGGACUAACAACUGUGAAGGGCUCUGAAUGAACACCCUCUAAUCCUCUUAAGGCAAUGUAAAGGCUGAACUAGCUAGUAAUAACUAUUUUUAAAUGAAAAAAACAAACAAAAAACCGAACC